AUUGAACGCUGGCGGCAGGCCUAACACAUGCAAGUCGAGCGAGCGGCGGAAGGGUGAGUAAUGUAUGGGGACUGACCGAUAGAGGUGGGUAACAACUGGAAACGGUAGAUAAUACCGCAUACUAUCGGUUAACACAAAUGGGAUUAGCUAGUAGGUGAGGUAAUGGCGCAACUAGGAGACGAUCCCUAGCUGUUCUGAGCGGAUGAUCAGCCACACUGGGACGGUGACACGGCCGAGACUUCUACGGAGGCAGCAGUGGGGAAUAUUGCACAAUGGGCGCAAGCCUGAUGCAGCCAGGCCGCGUGUAUGAAGAAGGCCUUCGGGUUGUAAAGUACUUUUGGCAGAGAAGCGGAAUCUGCAGAAUAAGCACCGGCUAACUACGUGCCAGCAGCCGCGGUAAUAC
rnacentral:rRNA from 1 species